rnacentral:misc_RNA from 1 species
AGACGUAAAAACAAUCUCCUUAGGCGAGGCACCGAUAAGAGCAGCAACUUGGGAACGAGCCGUUUCGACGGCAUGGUCCGAUUCCCAACCAUAGAGAUGCGUACGAGAAUGUGGAUUACCAUAACGAGAAAGAUAAUAAGGAAGCAUGGCAUCGAGCACCCGAGGAUCAACAGGGGAUGUAGCUUGCAUAUCAAGAUAAAGCGGUCGCCCAGAUAUUU